rnacentral:tRNA from 1 species
GGGCUAGUGACCGAGCGGUCGAAGGUGUCAGUCUUGAAAACUGAACUAUCAACAGAUAGCAUGAGUUCGAAUCUCAUCUUGCCCUCA